AAGAGAAAUACUAUAGAUUUGGCAUAAUCAACCAAGUGGAGGUCAUUCAGGAAUCAACAACACUUAUAAGAAGGUUUCUUUAUUAUUUUAUUGGAAGUGGUUGAAGGAUGAUGUAACUACCUAUGCUAAGCAAUGUGAAGUUUGUCAAAGGAGAAAGUAUGAUCCCUUUCCAUACCCUGGGAUGCUGCAACCUUUAGCUAUUCCGAACGGUUCCUGGUCUAGCAUCAGCAUGGAUUUUAUUGAGGGAUUACCAAAGUCAAAAGGGAAGUCAGUGAUUUGGGUGGUGGUGGACAGAUUGACUGAAUAUGCUCAUUUUAUAGGAGUAUCACACCCUUAUUCAGCAGUUGACAUAGCCCAAUUGUUCUUGGAUAAUAUCUACAAGUUACAUGGAAUGCCAGAGAAUAUUGUAAGUGAUAGGGACCCAGUGUUUGUGAGCAAAAUCUGGCAGGAACUAUUUUCUGCCCAUGGAGUUACUUUGAGCACUUCCACAGCUUACCAUCCUCAAUCAGAUGGACAAACUGAGGUGCUAAAUAGGAGUUUAGAAGCCUACCUAAGGUGUUAUUGCACCGACUCUCCUCAAGACUGGUUUUUUUAUUUACCCCUAGCUAAAUAUUGGUACAAUACCACCCACCAUUCGGCAAUUAACACUUCCCCAUAUGAAGCACUCUAUGGGCAACCUCCUCCAAUCCAUCUCCCUUACCUACCUUGUGAAGUCACUGAUGAACAAGUCAACAAAAGUUUGUUGACUAGAGAACUUAAGACACAAUUGUUGAAGUUUCAUUUGUCCAAGGCCCAACAAAGAGUGAUUUCACUAGCUAACAACCAUAGAUCUGACAGAGUAUUUUCAGUAGGCGAUUGGGUAUAUUUGAAGGUUCAACCUUACAGGCAGGUCUCACUCUAUUUUGUCCAUUUUAAUAGGCUAACGGCUAAAUACUACGGCCCCAACCAGGUCUUACAGAAAAUUGGUCCAGUAGCUUACAAACUAGCCUUGCCCUCACAUGUGACCAUACAUCCCACUUUUCAUGUAUCCCUUCUCAAACCUUGUCACAAACUACCUGAAACAUUCAAUCGCCCUCCUGUGCUGGAAUUCUCUAGCCCGUAUUGCCCCAAUCCCAAGGCUAUCAAAGAUAGGAGAAUGAUUAAGAAGGAAAACAAAGCAAUAACGCAAGUGCUAGUGCAGUGGACUCAAUUGCCUGAAGAUCAGUUGACUUGGGAAGAUCUGCAUAGCCUGAAAACUAGGUUCCCAAACUUCUUCCUUGAGGACAAGGAAGUUCUUGAAGAAAUGGGCAAUGAUGCGAAUGGAAAUGAAGUGAGGAAUGUUGGUGUUGAAGAAGAAGAAGUACCUUGAGCUCAGUUCGUUGUAUGUAGCCGUUAAGAGUAGUUAUGUGCUAUGUUAUGUUCAUUAGGUGUCCUUAAGUUCAAGUAAUUCCAUUCUGGUCCCUUAGUUAUAAUUUGUUCUAGCACUUUUAGUCUCUAUCAAUUCUGUUAGGGAUAAGUCUUUGGACAAAAUGGUUAAGAGAGAUGCACAGUUGUUCAUGAUCAAGAUUCUUGACCCUGAAAGUCACAAUUGAGGGACUGUGGUAUCAGGGGUAGAGAUGGAUCCUGAGAUGGAGAGCCUCAUUCAAGAGUUUGAUGGACUAUUUGUUGAUCCUAAAGGAUUACCACCUCACAGAGAUCAAUUUGAUCACAAGAUUCCAUUGGCUUGCAGGAGCAACCCUAUUUAUAUGAGGCCUUAUAGGUACUCAUCCACACAGAAGGACAUCAUUGAUGAGUUAGUGUUGGAAAUGUUGGAACAAGGGAUAGUGCAGCCUAGUUCUAGCCCUUAUGCCUCCCCAGUAGUCUUAGUGGGAAAAAAAGAUGGUUCAUGGAGACUUUGUGUGGACUACAGGGCUUUGAACAAAAUCACUAUCAAAGACAAGUUUCCCAUCCUAAUUAUUGAAGAACUGCUGGAAGAAUUGGGUGGUUCUAGGGUGUACUCCAAACUGGACCUCAGGACUGGUUACCAUCAAAUUAGGAUGAACCCUACAGCUGGGGAGAAAACUGCUUUGAAGACAUAUGCAGUUCACUAUGAGUAUUUAGUGAUUCCUUUUGUCCUCACUAAUGCACCAUCAAGUUUUUAAAGCUUAAUAAACCAUGUAUUUCAGGAACAUUUAAGGAAGUUUAUUCUUGUAUUCUUUGAUGACAUACUGGUUUUUAGCAAGAACAUGAAAGAACACUUGCUCCACAUAUGAGGAUAACCUUUGAAUUGUUAAGGAAGCAUAAACUUUUUCUCAGGAAAACCAAGUGCUCUUUUGCUUGUGACAGGAUUGAAUACUUAGGGCAUUUCAUUUCAGCAGAAGUAAUAGUUACUGAUCCAAGAAAGAUUUCAGCAGUACAAAAUUGGCCUGUUCCAGUCAACAUAAAGGGUUUUUUUUUUGGGACUUGCAGGGUAUUACAGGAGAUUCAUCCAAAAUUAUGGGAUGAUAAGUAAACCCUUAACUGAAUUAUUAAAGAAGAAGGGAUUCUUGUGGACUGAAAGGGCUACUGUGGCUUUUCAGGAAUUAAAAAAAGCACUUACUGCUCCAGUAUUACCUUUGCCUAGCAGUGACCUUCAAUUUGUGGUUGAGACUGAUUCUUGUGAUAUAGGCUUAGGUGUUGUGUUGAUGCAACUAGGCCAGCCUAUAGCCUAUGUUAGCAAGGGCCUUUCUCUGAAGAACCAAGCAAUGUCUAUUUAUGAUAAAGAGUUUUUGUCUUUGGUUCUUGCUAUGACUAAAUGGUGAAUUUUUUAGUAAGGACUGAUCAGAGAGCAUUAAGGCACUUGAUUGAUCAAACAUUACACACUGGCACUCAAAUGAAGUGGAUUACCAAGAUCAUGCAAUUUGAUAUUGAUAUAGAGUACAAAAAGGGAAAGGAAAACAAAGCUGCAGAUUCAUUAUCUAGGCUUUCAAUAGGAGAGAUAGUUGCUGUACAUAUGAACCGUCUAGGGAAUGACUUAUUUCAAUCAAUCGCAGACUGUUGGAGCAGGGAUGCAGGUCUGCAAGAACUAGUCAAAUUAAUACAGGGCCAUAGGGGAGAGCAUCACCAGUACACUUUCUUCAAUAAUCAGUUAAGAAGAAAUGGAAAACUGGUAAUUGGAGAUGAUGCUGAACUAAAAAGAGAAAUACUAUAGAUUUGGCAUAAUCAACCAAGUGGAGGUCAUUCAGGAAUCAACAACACUUAUAAGAAGGUUUCUUUAUUAUUUUAUUGGAAGUGGUUGAAGGAUGAUGUAACUACCUAUGCUAAGCAAUGUGAAGUUUGUCAAAGGAGAAAGUAUGAUCCCUUUCCAUACCCUGGGAUGCUGCAACCUUUAGCUAUUCCGAACGGUUCCUGGUCUAGCAUCAGCAUGGAUUUUAUUGAGGGAUUACCAAAGUCAAAAGGGAAGUCAGUGAUUUGGGUGGUGGUGGACAGAUUGACUGAAUAUGCUCAUUUUAUAGGAGUAUCACACCCUUAUUCAGCAGUUGACAUAGCCCAAUUGUUCUUGGAUAAUAUCUACAAGUUACAUGGAAUGCCAGAGAAUAUUGUAAGUGAUAGGGACCCAGUGUUUGUGAGCAAAAUCUGGCAGGAACUAUUUUCUGCCCAUGGAGUUACUUUGAGCACUUCCACAGCUUACCAUCCUCAAUCAGAUGGACAAACUGAGGUGCUAAAUAGGAGUUUAGAAGCCUACCUAAGGUGUUAUUGCACCGACUCUCCUCAAGACUGGUUUUUCUAUUUGCCCCUAUUUGAAUAUUGGUACAACACUACCCAUCAUUCUGCAACUAACACUUCCUCAUAUGAAUCACUCUAUGGACAACCUCCUCCAAUCCAUCUCCCUUACCUACCUGGUGAAGCCACUGAUGAACAAGUCGACAAAAGUUUGUUGACUAGAGAACUUAAGACACAAUUGUUGAAGUUUCAUUUGUCCAAGGCCCAACAAAGAAUGAUUUCACUAGCUAACAACCAUAGAUCUGACAGAGUAUUUUCAGUAGGCGAUUGGGUAUAUUUGAAGGUUCAACCUUACAGGCAGGUCUUGUUAGCAUGAUGUAAAUAUUGUAUAUUAAUGUAAUCAUAUAUUAUUGUAUAUUAGUGUAAUUACAUAGAUUUGAUUUAUUAGUUAAAGAGAAUAAUAAUGACUUUAGUAAGAGCAGAUUUAGUGAGAUAGAAUAACGAAUUUAGAGAGAUAGAAAAGCUGAUCUUUAGGGAUAGGAAGGCGGAUCUUUAGGGAUGUAAUCAUUGAAUAUUUACUAUUUAAUGACAAGACUCUUAAUAUUGAGAGGUAUUCAGCAGAAAAUUGACAUGGUAUCAAAGCCUUCUCUUGGCUGUCUUGUUUCAUAGAGUUCAUUUGUGGUUUCUUUCAAAAUUUAUUUUGAAAAUUUCGGUUUUUGUUGAUUGUUCCUCGACAAUUAACACCUAGGACUUUGAUCUUGGUCAUUUUGGUUGUUCUUUUUGAGUUAGUGUUUCUAGUUUUCAUAAUUAUGAGUUCAUAUCAGUUUGAAUCAUUUAGUGUUCGUUUCACUGAAAAGAAUUUUUCGCCAUGGGAGUUUCAGUUUCAGUUAUUUGUCACCGAAAAAGAACUAUGGGGCCAUAUAGAUGAAGUCGAUCCUGCUCAUACUGAUCCCACAAAGUUAGGUGAAUGGAAGAUUAAAGAUGCUCGGAUGAUGACAUGGCUUUUAGGGUCAAUUGACCCUCUUAUUGUUUCUAAUCCCAAGCCUUACAAGACAGCUAAGGCCAUGUGGGAUUAUUUACAAAAGGUUUACAACCAAGAUAAUAGUACCCGGCGCUUUCACUUAGAGUAUUCCUAAUUACUCUCAAGGAGGUCUUUCUAUUCAGGAUUAUUAUUCUGGAUUUCAAAACUUAUGGGAUGAAUUUACAGAUAUUGUUUAUGCCAAAAUACCUUUCGAAUCUCUCUCUGUAAUUCAGCAAGUUCAUGAGCAAAGCAAGCGAGAUUAAUUUUUGAUGAAGUUACGCUCUGAGUUUGAGAGUGUUCGCUCUAAAUUGAUGAAUCAUGACCUGUCUCCCUCCCUGGAUGUUUGUUUUAGGGAAUUUCUUCACGAAGAGCAGCGUUAUGUCACACAAAAUGCUUUCAGAAGAGGAAAUAAUGUCGCUGUUGCAUUUGCUGCUCAAGGUAAAGGUAUGAGUAGGGAUAUGAAGAGAACUCAAUGCUACAAUUGCAAGAAAUGUGGCCAUAUUGCUAGAAAUUAUGGCAAGAAGUUCUGUAAUUAUUGCAAACAACAAGGACACAUUAUAGAGUGUCCCACACGCCCUCAGAAUCGUAAGGUAAAUAAUUUUCAUGCAGUAAUAAAUGGUUCCACUCUUGAGAACUCAUCUUCAGGACAAGUUCUUACUCCUGCAAUGGUACAAUAAAUGAUCGUAUCAGCCUUUUCAGCAUUGGGAUUACAAGGUAUUGAUGUUAAAUCUAAUUUUUGGAUUGUUGAUUCUAGUGCUUCCAAUCAUAUGACCAACUCAACAAGCAUGCUAAAAAAUGUUCGUAAGUAUCAAGGUUCAUCACAAAUACAGGUUGCUAAUGGUAGUAAUUUACCCAUUACCAAGGUUGGGGAUAUUGCUCCAACUUUCAAGAAUGUUUUUGUUUCACCGAAGCUCUCAACUAGUCUUAUUUCAGUUGGACAAUUGGUUGAUGAAAAUUGUGAUGUAAAUUUUUCUCGUAAUGGUUGUCUUGUGCAGGAUUAGGUGUCGGGGACGAUAAUUGCGAAGGAGCCUAAAGUUGGAAGAUUGUUUCCUAUACAAUUUUCUAUUCCUCCUGUUAUAUCUUUUGCUUGUACUUCUACGGCUAAUAAGACUGAGCUUUGGCAUAAGCGUUUAGGACAUCCAAAUUCGGUUGUGUUGUCUCAUUUAUCAAAUUCUAGUUUAUUAAGAAGUAAAAAUCAAUUUUCCCCUGCUUCAUUUGAUUGUUCUACUUGUAAAUUAGGCAAAAGUAAAACUCUUCCUUUUCCUAAUUUGGGUAGUCGUGCUACAAAGUGUUUUGAUGUUGUUCAUAGUGAUGUUUGGGGUAUUUUACCAAUUGUUUCUCAUGCUCAGUUCAAGUACUUUGUGACAUUCAUAGAUGAUUAUAUUCGAUUUACG
rnacentral:lncRNA from 1 species